GGAACUGGAGUCAGUUGGCUGCUGUAGGAAGAAGGAAGAGUCAGUGCUUAGAGGAGCUGCUUAUGAGAAACACCAAGGAGGGUCACAGCAAAGCAGUUGGUGCCAUCCCUGUUGCAGUGGAAGGAGUUUGGGAAAGCACAAUGUUGUCACAAAGAGUGCCUGCCUCUGCCUAAGAGAUGAGACCAAUCCUCAACAGAGGAGGUCCAAGGAUGGGAAUUGGGAAUGGGGGAUGCAUUAAAGACACUGUGGAGGUGCAAACACCUGGGCUGGCCUGAGAUGAUGCAGGAGAUGAUGGAGCAACCAACAGACACCUCCUGUAUCAUCAGCAAAGGCUCCUGUGGUCUCCAGCCCUCAGGAGGGGCUGGCAGAGCCCCCAGCUGCAGUUCUGUGCAGAAGAAUUCAGCACUCACUGAGUCCAAGAGGAAGAGAUUAUUGUCCCAAAGCUUGGUGCCCUGGGACACGGCAGCUGUGUGCCCUGGCCCAAGGCUUUUGCAUCGUUGACUAUUUUGUGACCAAUAUCUGAAUGGCUCUUGAAACACAGACUGAAACCAUCUCUUGCUUUUUCCAGCUGGAUUCUUGAUUGUGGUGAGGAUGUUGUUGUAUCUCCAUGCUAUCCAGUACUCUGGGAAUUAGUUUUUCUGAAAUGAGUUUCUGAAAAGGAGCUAGGCACCAAGAUCAGCACAAAUGCGAAUGGGUUAUCCGUGGCCUUGGAUAAAUCAUGGGAAUGACUCUGACAUACCCUGGGUGUGCUUUGUUGCCUGUUGGGGCAGCAGCAGUGGAGUUAUGUGAUGUGAUUCAUUCCCCAGUGCCAUUACCAGAGGGAUAUCAAUCACUGUCACUGCACCAACAAAAUUAGUGAGUUAUCCUGCUGGGCGCUGACAAUGAAAGCACAGAACAGUGCAAAGGCAAGAGGACACUAUUUGAGUACAUGGAGAGGAGUUCCUCUUGUUGCUUCUCUACCCAGGGUCUUGGAAAUUGCUGGUUUCCAAAAUUUUGUGUGAAGCCCAUAAAGACAGCAGAGUAAUGUAAAUUGUUCGCCCAUCCAGCCAACCCCUGAUUAUAAAGCACAUCUAACAGAACUGACAAAAGCUGAGAGAAAUGGACAUCCAUUGGGAAAAUGAAAAAAUGAGUGAUAUUCAUCCUAGAGGAACCUAUAAAACUGCAACACUGUCUUUUCAUAAAAGAGCUACAGGACUAGAGGUCUGGAUUCACAUAAUAGGACUCAUAUGACAAUAACUAGACAAGAAACACAAAAACGCCUCAGCAUCUAAAGAAAAUCAAUGUUUUCAUCUCACAACAGCCUUGUGGUAGCCUUGUGAUUAGCUGUGGCAUUCUCUUGUUCUCAGAGUAAUGAGUAUGUAAAACUGUGUUUUGUAUACAAUUUCUGGGCACCAUGUCAGCUCUUUAGGAUCACUUGAAAGGGAGAUCAGUGGGAAGGAUGCCAUGGCAGUGACUAGAAAAUAACUUUGCAAGUCUUUGUUGUUUCCUCUCUCCUUCAGCCUUCUCACACUCCCCCAAGAGCCCUGGCUGACAGAGCAGACACAGCAUUGUGUUAAACAUGAAUUGUUAAACUCGAGGCAAUGCCAGCCUGGGUGAGGUGAGGUGCUCACCCCAGAGCUGCAGCUGGGCACAUCCUUGUGCCCAGUCCCUGGCAGCACCUCUGUGCUCCUGUGGCUCCUUGCUUUGCUGUAUAUUUGUUUUUCAGGUGCUUUAGUAGCACUGAAACUUGUGGUUUGGGGAUUUUUUCCCCUUCCGCUGUGGCUCUGCUAGCAAAAGAAACCUACCAGCCUUUUGUUCAUCAGUUUUUUUCCUUCCAUGGCAAAUAUUUAUAAGUAAACCAAUCAGUCAUUGUCAAGGGAACUCUAAUGGUAUGCUCCUAUGUGGAUAAUUAUUACUUCCUUGUCAGCAAAAGGUUAUAAAAUUUUUUCUUUUGGGAAAAUGCAAUAGAGACUUUUUUUCCUGGCAGGCAAAUACUGUACAAAUGUUUUUCUCUGGAUAAUACAGCUGAAAAGCUCCUUGUAGGAUUACCUGACAUAAAUGCUUCUGUUAGGCCGAUUUCUGUGUCACUGAAAGACUGUUGACUCUUUUCCUAGGAGGCAAAAGAGCUUUCUAUGGUUUCUUCCUACUGGGAAAACACUUUUACUGGUUCUGUCAGGAAAAUACAAAUAAAAACCCACCUUUUUUUUUUUUUUUUAUAAAUGCAUCAGAAUCUUGGUUCAGAAAAGCGGUUAAAUACAUGAUUAAAUCUGUAUUUACAGGGACAGAUUCUUGCCUGCUCAUCAAGGAUUGCUCACCUAACCAGGUCCUUAAGUGUUGCAAGUACAAGCUUAGGAGUGAAGUUGAGAGGAAUGAUUUACUCUCUGACACUGGCAGCACUUGCAGCUGGCUUGGCUGGAUGGACUUUAUCCUGGAAACAGCUGUCUUGCAUUGAACCAAGGCAAGUUAACUGACAGAAACAUAGAAUCACAGAGCUGUUUAGGCUGGGAAAGACCUUAAACAUCACUGAGUACAGCCAGUGAAAGAACACUAAACAUGAAGGAUACUUGAGGUAGCCAUGGCAGUCAGGCAAAGGAGGGGCCCAGAAAAGUGUGUUGGUCCAGGGCAGUGUGCCUGUGCAUGGUGGCUGCUGUCUGUGACACUUGUCUCAAGGCCUGGUUUUGUCUAAAUUUAUAGAAAUAUAUUUUAGAAGGUGUGAGGGUGAUUUUUUUUUUUUGCUUUUUUGAUUCUUCCCUGUUUUGCCAGUGAUGGUGGGGAAUGUUUCUGGCACUUCAGAUACUUUUGACUAUCAGCUAUUGAGGGAAAUGUUUGAGAAUAGAGUAGGCCUUCACUGCUGGCAUGAAUCAAUGUGUGGUGCAUGAUGUGUGUACAGGAGUCAGAGAAUGACACACUCUGGAAAAUUAUUGCUUUUCACCCUCUUAAUUACUGCUGCUCUGAGGUCUAGGCUGAUGUCUAAGUGCUGUUUCUCAGCUGCUUUAUGUCCAAGACAGAGUAAUAUGAUUCUGAGAAUUAAGAGGAAAUGGAAAAUGAUUUGUAGUUCAAUAGAUCUAAUUCAGCCUCAUUCCUUUCUGUCAGUCUGUCCCCUCCUGCAGAUGGGGGUGGCAUCUCUGUUCUCCCAGCAGAGCUGAACAGCAGGGGCUGCUCUGGGAGAUUGCACAGCUGGACUCACCAAACUUGGCAUUGAUCUCUACAAAAUCUUGGGUGUGACUGUGUGAAAGCUGCAGUCAAAGGUGCUGCAGUCUCAUCCUGGUGCUCAGCAAAGCUGUGGCUGUCCCAGAGGAAGGGUAGAACUUGCUGCUUGCUCUCUUCCCAGUGUGAUGGAAUUGGGCAAAUGCUGAAGCCCCUGGAGCUCACCUGGGGCAAAAGUAACACCCCCACUAGCUGGGCAGUUUCCUGGAAAAGCAGACAAAGCUGCUUGUUUAACAGAAUUGGACCCUCAUGUAAGAAACAGAUUUCUCGGUGCUCUCAAACAAUUUUUUGUUAGUUGAUUCAGAGAGGAGGAGGAAGUGCUGGAAUGGUGAUCUUUGGGCUGAACCAUGAGCAGAGGUGGAGCAUGCACAAUCAGGGGGCAUUUGGCUGAGCAGAGCCAGCAGGAUUCCUGAGCUGCCAAGCACAUGCAGUGAAAACAAUUUAUACACCUGAAAAUUAAGUGGAAAAAUUAGCCUUUAAAGAAGCAGCACACUAGGGAGAGUGAGGAAGGUUGAUGGACUCAUGUUGCUUUCCUGUGAUUACAACAAAAUGAAGCCCCCAGAGGCACUGGUGCUGCAGGGACUGAGGCUGUUGAAGCAAAUGCUUUUGAGGGAAUAUACACUGUUGGUGUAAAACAUCAGUUUGGUUUUCAGAGUGACCAUGAGGUAAAGAGGUAGCACAAAGACACCUGAUGGGCAGAGGGACUGGGAAAAGGACAUUGGAAUUCCUAUUUGUCAACUCUGCUCUAUCCCCAAAACUUAGAAUGUGUAUCAACUUCUUCCAGACUCUGAAGUUCUCCUCCUUCUAAGAGCUGGCCCCUCUCUCUGACUUUCUCACUAGAAAUACCUCCCUGCAGACCAAUAUAAAGUUUGUCUGUGAAUCCCUGACAUCUUUACUGGAUUAUCCUCCCCAGCCACCAGUGGCAUAUAUGAACUCCAACACAUUUGGGUAGUUGUAAAUGAAUAAAGUUGAACUUGGAGGAGGGGAAAAAAAUACCUACUAAAUUUCAAGCAAAUGGGGAAUCCAAAGUAAAAUAUUUUCCCGGGGUUUAAGCCUUUAUUCUGUUGAUGGGAAAUAUCUGUGUGUCACAACAGCCUGACUCCCUGGCUACCAAACCAUAGGGCUACACUUCCCUUGCCUGCGUGUGACAACCCCCCUUUUCAGAGCUUAUCUCACUUGAAGUAAACUUCUUUAAGGUAUUGGCAGGUCCUAACUUAUUUUUGGAAGACACUUUCAGUUUUCACAUAUUUCUUUCCAGCAGUAGAUGGCAGCAAUUUUCUUAGUCCUAAUCUGAUAAGAUCUGUGUGCUAAUUACUGUAAAUGACUAUAUUUCAAAAGGUAAAGCCUUCAGUUGCCCUUUUUGGCAGAUAUUGCUAACUAAGCUAUCAUCCCUGCUGUCCUGCAGGCAGUGCAGUGCUGACAGUGGCAGACAGUGUCUCCCAGGCUGUCUGUGCUGGAGAGGCAGCAGGACACCAACCAACCUGGCCCCCUGGAUCAGCCUCAGCCAUCCCUGGGGUUAUUCUUUGGGGAUAAAAGAGAUAUGGGAAAAUGUGGGCCCACAGCCUCACCUUCAUCUGAGAGGGGAAGUGAAAAACUUGGAAAUAAUGAAGUGCAAAAAUGCUGUGAUGAAUUGACUAGUUAAAGUCUGAAGAAAAUGAAAAGAGCAGAGAUGCUUUGGCUCAGAAAUAAUCAAUCUGUGCAUAUUGCUCUAAACUGAAUUUUCCUCUUUGUACAGGCUGGAUAUUUAUUUCCAGAAAAGGGUCAUUAGGAGACUCACUUUAAAAUGAAAUGUUUGUGAUCAGUAUAAAAGUUUGCAACAAGAGACAGAAAGUGUGAGAAAUGAAUUGAGCAACGUUAUUAUAUUAAGCUAAUAUAUAACGACAUCUGUUAUGUGAGCAUAGAAUAAUGUUGAAAUUAGGGAAGCUUCAUCAACUUUGAAUGAAUAACUGAUCUCCAGUGGACAGAGAGAAAACUGAUUUUAAUGACUGUUUUAAACUAACAUUUGGUGAAAUAAAUGUUUAAUGCAUUUGUUCUAAACCAGAAUUAAAGUGCCGUGUCUUUUUCAUAGCU